rnacentral:tRNA from 1 species
GGGGGUAUAGCUCGGGGUGGAGCUUGUGCCUGGCGUGCACGAGGUCCUGGGUUCAAUCCUCAGUGUCUCUG